UUGUUCUCUCAGCUGUAAACAUUAUAAUUAUAAGCACUGGAAAUAUAAUUUAAAGCAUUACAGUCUGAUACAGCAAAGCCUGUAGUGUUAAGUGGAAAUGCGUUUUGGCAGUGGGGCUUUGACAGAAGGACUGCUGAGAGUCUCCAGAGCCUACAGACCCACCUGUCUUGAGGGACUUUACUCUUUAUAGCUUUAGAAAGAGUCAGCCUUUCUUCAGUUAAUGGUGAGUGGAACUGAAAUGAAAAUCAAAAUUCCACUGAAGUUUUGGAGUUAGAUACCUCAUUGGUUUUUCUUUACUGAUGUCUGUGUUUAUUGCAUUCCCCAGAAUCCUGUUCACUGAGGUCCUGAUAGCGUGCUGAUCAGAAACUUUUGGUAAGCUAGAAGAAACUUCCAAAUGCUGAUUGUUGAAAUUAGUAUUCAAACUUAGAUUGGUAAAGAAGGAAUGAAAGUAUUUAAAGUGGAGUUCACAGUGGGAAAAUUAUUAAGAAUGUUUGGAGAAAAGCAAUACAUUGGAUAUUGUUGCCACAGUUUACAAAGAAGGAUGAGAAGAUAGCAAGGUCAACAGGCUAUACAACAUGCAGUGCCAGUUCAACAAGGAUAUAUAAAACUACAGCCGACCAUGGAAAAUAUCAUUCACGCUUAGAUGGACACUGCUAUAAGGACUCUGAGGCUUGAGACUAGCAAGAGGGGGAGGCCCAAUGCCCCUUGCCAUCCCAGCUCAGCCGGAAAUAGCCAGAGAGACCUCACAACACCCAUAUUUGCAAAGAAUUGGGCCUCCCAUAUCUUGAGGAGGGACUCUUAGGUAGUUAGAAUAGGAAAAAGGAG
ensembl:lncRNA